rnacentral:lncRNA from 10 species
UUUUUUAUGGCUGCAUAGUGUUCCAUGGUGUAUAUGUGCCACAUCUAGUCUAUCAUUGACAGGUACUAAGUUCUUUAAAAAUAUAUUUGAUGGUUGAAAAUAACUGUACCAUUGUCUAAUGGGGUUUUAAACAUAUGUAGACGUAAUUCAUGACAACUCUAACGUAAGGGGUACAGGUUAAGUAGACCUAUAUGUAAGGUUUCUACAUUCUACUUAAAAUGGGGGGAAAAGACAUUCUAAGCAGAUUCAAAAAGCUAAAUAUGUAUAUUUGCAUUAUGUGAAACUCAUGUUUGCCUCAGGGUCUUUCCAGUUGCUUUUCCUUUUGUCUGAAAAAAUAUUCCCCUAUAUAUACACAUCAUUUGCUCCCUCAACUAAUUCAUGUGUCCGCAUAAAUGCCACCUCUUCAAGGAAGCCUUCCCUUAACCACCCUCAUAAAAUAACCACCUCUUCCCAUUAGAUUCUACCUUUAUAUUUGAUUUUUUCUUCAUUCAUUUAUCAUUAUCCAAAAUUUGAUAUUUUUGUUAAUUUAUCUUCCCACUAGCAUGCAGGUGAUGGUCUGCCUGUUCACUUCUGUAUUCCCAGGGCCUAGACCAAUGCACUGGUUUUUGUUUGUUUAACCUAUCAAGAACUGAGAGAGUUGCAUAGAAAUUUGCCACCUCCUGUAGUUCUAACAUUUUUUGCUGUAUAUAGCUUAAGUCCAUUUUAUUAGUUACAAACAGGAUUAGAAUUUUUCUGUUUUUUUUCUGGUGAAAAAAACCUUUUAUCAGUAGGUAAUGACCUUUUUAUUCUAAUAAUCUUUUUUUGUCUUAAAAUCUUUUUUCUGAAAUUAAUGUAUGUAUGUGAAUUCUUUGUAUUAAGAUCUGCCUGGUAUAUGUUUUUCUAUCUCUUAUCUUCUACUGUUUUGCCUGUAUGUUUUCAGAUUCUUGUAUAUGUCAUACAGCUAGAUUUUUCUUUUCAUUUCAGUCUGACAAACUCUAUCUUUUAAUUGGUAAAUGUCAUACAUUUAUGUUUAUUGUGAUUCUUGAUAUAGUUGGAUUUGUUUAUAUAUCUUUUUUGUUUAUAUUUGCCUUGCUUUUUCUGAGCUACUAUUUUUAUAGCCCCAACGUUUUUGCAUUUUUUUU